CGAUUGAGUUUGAUCCUGGCUCAGGAUGAACGCUGGCGGCGUGCCUAACACAUGCAAGUCGAACGGGGUAUAUAAGCGGAAGUUUACGGAUGGAAGGUUAUAUACUUAGUGGCGGACGGGUGAGUAACGCGUGGGCAACCUGCCCCGUGCCGGGGGAUACCGCCUGGAAACAGGCGCUAAUACCGCAUAAGCGCAUACAGCCGCAUGGGUGUAUGCGGAAAGCUCCGGCGGCACGGGAUGGGCCCGCGCCCGAUUAGCCAGUUGGCGGGGUAACGGCCCACCAAAGCGACGAUCGGUAGCCGGCCUGAGAGGGCGGACGGCCACAUUGGGACUGAGACACGGCCCAAACUCCUACGGGAGGCAGCAGUGGGGAAUAUUGCACAAUGGGGGAAACCCUGAUGCAGCAACGCCGCGUGGGUGAAGGAGCGUUUCGGCGCGUAAAGCCCUGUCAGCGGGGAAGAAGAAAGACGGUACCCGACCAAGAAGCCCCGGCUAACUACGUGCCAGCAGCCGCGGUAAUACGUAGGGGGCGAGCGUUAUCCGGAAUUACUGGGUGUAAAGGGAGCGUAGACGGCGAGGUAAGCCUGAAGUGGAAGCCCGCGGCCCAACCGCGGAACUGCUUUGGGAACUGUUUUGCUGGAGUAUGGGAGGGGUAAGCGGAAUUCCUGGUGUAGCGGUGAAAUGCGUANAUAUCAGGAGG
rnacentral:rRNA from 1 species